GCGCUUGUAGCUCAGUGGAUAGAGCGCUUGUUUCCUAAGCUAAAGGUCGUAGGUUCGAUCCCUACCUAGUGCG
rnacentral:tRNA from 1 species